AAAAACAACUCCCUUCUUACUCGUCACUCCAAGCAACCCCAAAAAACUUUACCAUGAAUUAAGAACAAAGAAAAGAUUCAAACAUCAAAAAAGCAAAACCAAAACAAAACUCCCUUUCAAUUCACAAAAACCACAGAAGCGAAUGCACAAGAAUGCAAAGAAGAUUUGAAUUUAUCUGAUUUUCCCCAUUUCACUCAUCACCCAAAUAGCUCAAUUGAACAUUGAAGUUAAAAACAAUAACAUAAUGAUAGGAACACAAAGAAGUUAGCAGCAUUGAACCUACGAUAAAGUAAAUGAAAUAACGUAAAAAGCAAGAAAACCCUUGAUAUCAAGGGACAGAGUGAUUAGAGACCUG
rnacentral:misc_RNA from 1 species